rnacentral:tRNA from 1 species
GGGCCGGUCGUUCAGUCUGGUCUAGGACGUCGCUCUUACACGGCGAAAGUCGAGGGUUCGAAUCCCUUCCGGCCCA